rnacentral:tRNA from 1 species
GGGCGAAUAGCUCAGUUGGUUAGAGCAAACGGUUUACAUCCGUUAGGCCGAGGGUUCAAGUCCUUCUUCGCCCACCA